AUUGAACGCUGGCGGCAGGCCUAACACAUGCAAGUCGAACGAGUGGCGGACGGGUGAGUAAUGUCUGGGAAACUGCCUGAUGGAGGGGGAUAACUACUGGAAACGGUAGCUAAUACCGCAUACCAUCAGAUGUGCCCAGAUGGGAUUAGCUUGUUGGUGGGGUAACGGCUCACCAAGGCGACGAUCCCUAGCUGGUCUGAGAGGAGGACCGGCCACACUGGAACUGAGACCCGGUCCAGACUCCUACGGGAGGCGGCAGAGGGGAAUAUUGCACAAUGGGCGCAAGCCUGAUGCAGCCAUCCCGCUUGUAGGAAUAAGGCCUUCGGGUUGUAAAGUACUUUCAGCGGGGAGGCGGUACCCGCAGAAGAAGCACCGGCUAACUCCGUGCCAGCAGCCGCGGUAAUUC
rnacentral:rRNA from 1 species